GGGCGAUAACUGGGUUCGCGCUGCGGACAUGGUCGAAUAGGGCACCGAGUUGGUAGAGAAGCCGUGCCUUGUGCGAGGCUGAUGACGGGCAACUCGGCUAGCGCAUUGUGAGACUGGA
rnacentral:misc_RNA from 1 species